GGCCUCCUGGUGCUUACCACACUGUGAUAUCACACUGUACAGAAAUAGGAGGCCAACUAAACCUACCCCAAAUACACCUCGGCUCAGGCCCUUUGCCUAGUCUGUAUUGUGAAUGGGAAGACACUG
rnacentral:snoRNA from 1 species